GGCCGAACACAAAGAGCCGCCUAGUACACCCUUGAUGACGUAUCCGGCCAGAUGGUAUAGCACACAGGACUCCGCUUUUGUGGAAAUGAUUCUGCUCCUACUGCAUGAGACUGCUGCUGUUGAUGGGGAAGUGCUUUUGCCAGAAAUGGCUUAGUUGCAGGUGGUGGCUUUCUUGAGUUGCACUGAUAAGGUUGAUGCUUUCAAUGCAUUGGAAGUUCCAGCAUGUUCCAGUGAAUUCCAAUUCUUCAUGCAUUAUUGAUUUCACACACACACACACACACA